CCUAACGUCGCACACAUAUCGACACCUGCGUCAGGGUGCCGGCUCCGGCCGGUUUGGCGCAAGGGAUAUGUGGAGGCCUAAC
rnacentral:sRNA from 1 species